rnacentral:lncRNA from 1 species
CCCUUCUCCCUCUGUUAGUUGUUCCUCUACUUCUGUUUGUCCUGUAUCUGCUUCUUGUAAGCAAAGUUGUUACAUUGCCUUCUCUGUCUGUUUCUUGUAAUGAUGACAUCUUGUCUGAUAACAAGGCUGUUCCUUUGCUUUCACAUGUGAAUAGUUCCAUCUGUAAUAAUGAUUUUGCAUCUGAUAUGAAUUACAUUUGGCACUGAAGACUUGCACAUACUCCUUUUGCAAAUAUGAAAUGCAUUUCUGGUCUGUCUUUUCC